UACGUAGGGCGCAAGCGUUGUCCGGAGUUAUUGGGCGUAAAGAGCUCGUAGGCGGUUUGUCACGUCGGCUGUGAAAACCCGAGGCUCAACCUCGGGCCUGCAGUCGAUACGGGCAGACUAGAGUGCUGUAGGGGAGACUGGAAUUCCUGGUGUAGCGGUGAAAUGCGCAGAUAUCAGGAGGAACACCGGUGGCGAAGGCGGGUCUCUGGGCAGUAACUGACGCUGAGGAGCGAAAGCGUGGGGAGCAAACAGG
rnacentral:rRNA from 1 species